AAGUCGUAACAAGGUUUCCGUAGGUGAACCUGCGGAAGGAUCAUUAACGAAGGCGAGAAUUUCUAGUAGAUUUUCGUUUGAUCAACCACAUUCCAAUAUAGUGCGAUACGUGGGGAAACCCACAGUGCUUUUUAAUAAAAACAAAAAACUUUCAACAACGGAUCUCUUGGCUCUU
rnacentral:misc_RNA from 1 species